rnacentral:rRNA from 1 species
GAUGAACGCUGGCGGCGUGCCUAAUACAUGCAAGUCGAGCGAACGGACGAGAAGCUUGCUUCUCUGAUGUUAGCGGCGGACGGGUGAGUAACACGUGGAUAACCUACCUAUAAGACUGGGAUAACUUCGGGAAACCGGAGCUAAGACCGGAUAAUAUUUUGAACCGCAUGGUUCAAAAGUGAAAGACGGUCUUGCUGUCACUUAUAGAUGGAUCCGCGCUGCAUUAGCUAGUUGGCAAGGUAACGGCUUACCAAGGCAACGAUGCAUAGCCGACCUGAGAGGGUGAUCGGCCACACUGGAACUGAGACACGGUCCAGACUCCUACGGGAGGCAGCAGUAGGGAAUCUUCCGAAAUGGGCGAAAGCCUGACGGAGCAACGCCGCGUGAGUGAUGAAGGUCUUCGGAUCGUAAAACUCUGUUAUUAGGGAAGAACAUAUGUGUAAGUAACUGUGCACAUCUUGACGGUACCUAAUCAGAAAGCCACGGCUAACUACGUG